UAAUGAGAAUCCCCAAUUUACCAUUUUAUGC
rnacentral:piRNA from 1 species